CCAUACACUGCAAGUCGAACGAGAAAACCGCAAGGUGAGUAAAGUGGCGUACGGGUGAGUAACACGUGGAUUAUCUGCCCUUUAGUGGGGAAUACCGCCUGGGAAACCGGCGACAAUACCGCAUAAGCUCGAGAGAGGAAAGCAGCAAUGCGCUGAAGGAGGAGUCCGCGGCUGAUUAGCUAGUUGGUAGGGUAAAAGCCUACCAAGGCUGUGAUCGGUAGCCGGCCUGAGAGGGCACACGGCCACACUGGCACUGAAACACGGGCCAGACUCCUACGGGAGGCAGCAGUGGGGAAUCUUGCACAAUGGGGGAAACCCUGAUGCAGCGACGCCGCGUGAGCGAUGAAGCCCUUCGGGGUGUAAAGCUCUUUCGGCAGGGACGAUUAUGACGGUACCUGCAGAAGCAGCUGCGGCUAACUACGUGCCAGCAGCCGCGGUAAUACGUAGGCAGCAAGCGUUGUUCGGAGUUACUGGGCGUAAAGGGUGCGUAGGCGGUCCUGUAAGUAUGGUCUGAAAUCUCCCGGCUUAACUGGGAGGGUGGGCUAUAGACUGCGGGACUAGAGGGUGGGAGAGGAAAGUGGAAUUCCUGGUGUAGCGGUGAAAUGCGUAGAUAUCAGGAGGAACACCGGUGGUGUAAACGGCUUUCUGGACCACUUCUGACGCUGAGGCACGAAAGCGUGGGUAGCAAACAGGAUUAGAUACCCUGGUAGUCCACGCCCUAAAUGAUGCAUAUUUGGUGUGGGCCAUUCAUUUGGUCUGUGCCGGAGCUAACGCGUUAAAUAUGCCGCCUGGGGAGUACAGUCGCAAGGCUGAAACUCAAAGGAAUUGACGGGGGCCCGCACAAGCGGUGGAGCAUGUGGUUUAAUUCGACGCAACGCGAAGAACCUUA
rnacentral:rRNA from 1 species